rnacentral:tRNA from 1 species
GCCUGGGUGGCUCAGUCGGUUAAGCGUCUGACUUCAGCUCAGGUCAUGAUCUCGCAGUCUGUGAGUUCGAGCCCCACGUCGGGCU